UACGUAGGGUGCAAGCGUUAAUCGGAAUUACUGGGCGUAAAGCGUGCGCAGGCGGCUUUGCAAGACAGAUGUGAAAUCCCCGGGCUUAACCUGGGAACUGCAUUUGUGACUGCAUGGCUGGAGUGCGGCAGGAGGGGAUGGAAUUCCGCGUGUAGCAGUGAAAUGCGUAGAUAUGCGGAGGAACACCGAUGGCGAAGGCAAUCCCCUGGGCCUGCACUGACGCUCAUGCACGAAAGCGUGGGGAGCAAACAGG
rnacentral:rRNA from 1 species